rnacentral:rRNA from 1 species
CCUACGGGUGGCUGCAGUCGGGAAUUUUGGGCAAUGGGGGAAACCCUGACCCAGCAACGCCGCGUGAGCGAUGAAGGCCUUCGGGUCGUAAAGCUCUGUCGGGAGGGAAGAAGGCUCUCGGAGUGAAUAAUUCCGGGGGAUUGACGGUACCUCUAGAGGAAGCGCCGGCUAACUCCGUGCCAGCAGCCGCGGUAAUACGGAGGGCGCAAGCGUUGUUCGGAAUCACUGGGCUUGAUACGUCGGUAGUGAGAGCCCGGGGCCUCACCCCGGAACUGCACUCGAAACUGCCUCGCUCGAGUCCCGGAGAGGAUGGUGGAAUUCCCGGUGUAGUGGUGAAAUACGUAGAUAUCGGGAGGAACACCAGCGGCGAAGGCGGCCAUCUGGACGGUGACUGACGCUGAGACGCGAAAGCGUGGGGAGCAAACAGGAUUAGAUACCCUAGUAGUC